GCAGGCGCGAAACCUUUACACUGUACGCAAGUGCGAUAAGGGGACUCCGAGUGUGAAGGCAUAGAGCCUUCACUUUUGUACACCGUAAGGUGGUGUACGAAUAAGGGCUGGGCAAGACCGGUGCCAGCCGCCGCAGUAGUACCGGCAGCCCGAGUGAUGGCCGAUAUUAUUGGGCCUAAAGCGUCCGUAGCUGGCCGGACAAGUCCGUUGGGAAAUCUGUUCGCUUAACGAGCAGGCGUCCAGCGGAAACUGUUCGGCUUGGGACCGGAAGACCUGAGGGGUACGUCCGGGGUAGGAGUGAAAUCCUGUAAUCCUGGACGGACCACCGGUGGCGAAAGCGCCUCAGGAGGACGGAUCCGACAGUGAGGGACGAAAGCUAGGGUCUCGAACCGGAUUAGAUACCCGGGUAGUCCUAGCUGUAAACGAUGCCCGCUAGGUGUGGCGCAGGCUACGAGCCUGCGCUGUGCCGUAGGGAAGCCGAGAAGCAGGCCGCCUGGGAAGUACGUCUGCAAGGAUGAAACUUAAAGGAAUUGGCGGGGGAGCACUACAACCGGAGGAGCCUGCGGUUUAAUUGGAUUCAACGCCGG
rnacentral:rRNA from 1 species